UUUUCAUACCAUAUGUUUUCUCGUAUAUGUGCAGGGAUUGGCCUGCAUGUCUCUACCCGAUCACCGGAAAUGAUUGGACUACGGGAUACGGCAGUCGGCAC
rnacentral:ncRNA from 2 species